rnacentral:rRNA from 1 species
UGGGGAAUAUUGCACAAUCGGCGCAAGCCUGAUGCAGCCAUGCCGCGUGUGUGAAGAAGGCCUUCGGGUUGUAAAGCACUUUCAGCGGGGAGGAAGGCGUUAAGGUUAAUAACCUUGGCGAUUGACGUUACCCGCAGAAGAAGCACCGGCUAACUCCGUGCCAGCAGCCGCGGUAAUACGGAGGGUGCAAGCGUUAAUCGGAAUUACUGGGCGUAAAGCGCACGCAGGCGGUCUGUCAAGUCGGAUGUGAAAUCCCCGGGCUCAACCUGGGAACUGCAUUCGAAACUGGCAGGCUAGAGUCUUGUAGAGGGGGGGAGAAUUCCAGGUGUAGCGGUGAAAUGCGUAGAGAUCUGGAGGAAUACCGGUGGCGAAGGCGGCCCCCUGGACAAAGACUGACGCUCAGGUGCGAAAGAGUGGGGAGCAAACAGG